AGUGCAAUGACUAUCAGAGUUUCUAAAACAGCCCAGAGAAUUGGUGAAAAAUCCUAAGGAUGAAGGAGCAGGUUCUCCUUCUGCCAGGACACCAUUUUGUCCUUGAGAGAGCAGAGCCCACACCUAGACAGUGUUUCUCCUUCUGAGACUGAUAUGGGAGCUACACCAGUAUUUUGAAAACCACCUUUGAGGAAAGGAAAAAUGGAAGGUGCUGCUGCAGAAGACUUGAGACUGGGGUGAAGAUUGACUUUCCAGUAGGACAACCACCCUAAACAUACAGCCAGAGAUACAAUACUCUGCAGGUCACCAACAGCCCUUCUGUCAAUGCACUGAAACAGUUACAUGGAGCAGCUGGAGAAGACUUCUCGGUGACAUGUGGCCUCUCUUUCUCUGAAACCUGGAAGAUCUUCUGCAGGGAAAGCUGUGAAGAAGGAAACAUUCUGAUUCAAACCAGAGAGAAAGCAGCUCAGAGAGAACGAUACAGCAUUAAACAUGUUAAAAAUCAUUUAUCAGACGUUUACAUUUUAUUUGUGAACAUCUCAAAACUAAGUGAGUCCG